CGGGCUAUCGUACAGUGGUAGUAUGCAUCCAUGGGGUGGAUGUGGCAGCGGUUCGAUUCCGCUUAGCCCGACCA
rnacentral:tRNA from 1 species